GACGAACGCUGGCGGCGUGCCUAAUACAUGCAAGUAGAACGCACAGUUUAUACCGUAGCUUGCUACACCAUAGACUGUGAGUUGCGAACGGGUGAGUAACGCGUAGGUAACCUGCCUGGUAGCGGGGGAUAACUAUUGGAAACGAUAGCUAAUACCGCAUAAUAUUAAUUAUUGCAUGAUAAUUAAUUGAAAGGUGCAAUUGCACCACUACCAGAUGGACCUGCGUUGUAUUAGCUAGUAGGUGAGGUAACGGCUCACCUAGGCGACGAUACAUAGCCGACCUGAGAGGGUGAUCGGCCACACUGGGACUGAGACACGGCCCAGACUCCUACGGGAGGCAGCAGUAGGGAAGCUUCGGCAAUGGACGAAAGUCUGACCGAGCAACGCCGCGUGAGUGAAGAAGGUUUUCGGAUCGUAAAGCUCGGUUGUAAGAGAAGAACGGGUGUGAGAGUGGAAAGUUCACACUGUGACGGUAUCUUACCAGAAAGGGACGGCUAACUACGUG
rnacentral:rRNA from 1 species